UACGUAGGGGGCAAGCGUUGUCCGGAUUUAUUGGGCGUAAAGAGCGUGUAGGCGGCCAGGUAGGUCCGUUGUGAAAACUCGAGGCUCAACCUCGAGACGCCGAUGGAAACCAUCUGGCUAGAGUUCGGUAGGGGAGACUGGAAUUCCUGGUGUAGCGGUGAAAUGCGCAGAUAUCAGGAGGAACACCGGUGGCGAAGGCGGGUCUCUGGGCCGAUACUGACGCUGAGGAGCGAAAGCGUGGGGAGCGAACAGG
rnacentral:rRNA from 1 species